CCACCGCCCGGCCCAACAUUCUUUAUAUACAUUAUAUGGCCUCUCAACAUCCUUUAUAUACAUUAUAUGGUCUCUCAACAUCCUCAGGGUAGGAGGGGUGUUUAGAAUGUUAUGUUAACUAGGUAAAGAUGUGUUACAUUUGUUUCUGCUGUGGAAUAUGACGCUAACUGUGUGCAGGUGUGUUACAUUUGUCUCUGAUGCCUUUGUUAAUGAUAUAAAGGUGUGUGACUUUUGUUUAUGCUGCAUGUGUUUAACGAUGUAAAGAUGUGCUGCAUCUGUUCCACCUGGCCUGCCUAAAGCACCUGAUUGGUCUAAUGAAGAGCAAGGCCUGUGCUCAUGAUGAUAGAGAUGUGUCACAGACCGAAGUCCUAAUGCCCAAAUGAAACGAGCAGAUCUUGACAACUGUCUUGUUGUGAGGAUGCUGAGACGUGUAACGUCACAUGUACAUGCCACGACACAUAUGUGGAAGUCGGAGGACUAUCCAUGGAAGCCAGUUCUCCCGUUAUACAGUGUGGGUCCCCGGGAGUGAAUCCAGGUUGUCAGACCUGAUGGGUGUUAAUCCGUAGCCCAGGCUGGCUUUGAACUUGUGGUAGUUCUCCUUCAAGUCCUUGAGUACUGGAGUUUCAGGCGUGAGUCACCAAUGUCUGCUCCUUGCACCUUAGAAAUUCUACGACUGUGUGAUCAUAAAGACACGAAGACAGAGGCAUUUAUUCCCUCCAGCCAACACGGUGUAGGUGGCAGGGGGAACUCCCCAGGAUGUGUGACGACCUCACGGGAAGACCAAGACCAAGGCAACCCACCCCAGUCCUGGUUUGUAAGAAAUCUUGUUGGCUCCGUUCGGAAGACACACAGAAGGGCGGAUCAUCCAGUGCCCUGAGUCCCUCUCGAUCCUGAGGAGGUGCAGUGAAGACCCCAGGCACAGCAGGAAAGAACCUGACUUAGGAACCAGAACUGAAGGGGCCUCUCAUAAACAACAUGCAAAUUCGAUCCAAAAUGCAAAUUCCACCAACCUAGAAGGUUGGCUGCAACUUUCAUGGGGGAAGAAAAAACAUUAAGAUGGGAAAUUGAGGAGAAGAAAAUGUUUGGAGGAAAACACCAUGUGGUGCUCCAGCUGGUUUCAUGUUUGAUCAUCACGGUAAUUUAACUUGCAAGUAUUUGAUUAAAAAAAAGGGGGUGGUCAGAGUAACUUUUGACAUACCUAAAUUGUCUGUUUUUCUCCUUAUUAAACUGGAAGUUCUAGGUGGCAGAGCAAAAGAUCCUAAGCGGAGAGCCUGCUCUACCUGGAAUUUAAAUGGAUAUAAUAAAAGAAAUUAUGAAAUUUUCAAUUUAAAAAAUGCUAUCAAAAACGCUAAGGAUGGU